rnacentral:piRNA from 2 species
CAGAACUUGAAGUCGCCGAGGCAGC